rnacentral:lncRNA from 1 species
AUGGAGGCGCGCCCCCCGGCCCCUGAUCCUCAGCCUCAGAGGCAAAGCCCGCGGAUCUCCCCGCACCCCCAACCUCCCUCUCCCACCCUCCCCCCGGCGAUGCCAACCCGCAGCGAAGCGGGCCGGGGAGAGUUACCCGGCGAGGCCCAGGCGCGAAGACCGCAGAGGCGCGCGGGGCUCCGGGGCCGGGAGCUCGCCCGCAGCCGCUCGCUCCAGCCGGGUGCUGCCUCUCCCGCGGCAGCCGCAGCAUCGAGCCGGCGGAAACCGGAGGACGGUGGCGCGGCUCAGCGGCGGCCCGGGAAGGAGGCAGUCUCCCCGGACCCGGCGGGGGACCAGCGAGGAGUCCGAGGCGCCAGGCGGCGCGUGCGCUGCCCACCGCUCCCGGGGCCGGAUCCUCGGCGACUGCGCCGAGCGCCUCUGGAGUCGAGAGGAAGCUCCUCCCGCGGCAGCGGCUGCGGCCGCCCCCGAGUGCGCGGAGGAAGGUGCGGGGCAGUGAGGUGCAGAGAGAGCCGCCGGGGCGUCCCCGGGCGGGCGAGGCUGGAGCGGGCCGAGCCCCUACCUUUCUGGCUGGCUGGACUCCAGCCGCGCGCCCUCCCCGGGCGUCCCGGACAGGAAAAUCACCAAGGGAGGGCCCGGGGAAAGCGGCGGGUGGCUUUGGACGAGGUAGGAGGAUCGGGUUCUACAGACAAGGAGACACUCCCUUCCCGCCCCGGUUUGUUUGGAAAGCUGCAGGGGCGAAAGAGAGGGGCGGCUAGGGAGCUUCCUCCUCCCCGCCGGGCUGGCAGGCGGCAGAAGUAAACACUUUUUGCUUGGCUCGGCGGGGACUUGUGUGACACGAGGCGGGGCAGGCGGUUUGGUCCCCAGCAGAAAGGGCGGGAGUGUCCAGAGAGACCAGAAUUUCUGGGCUCUCCCCUUCAAGGACAAAUGUGUUAGUGCUUUUUAUCUUUCGGAGGAAACGAUACGUUAGGGGGAAGGAAGACGAAAUGUGUAUUUGCUUGUUGAAAUAGGUCUCCCUUGAGAAAUGUGUAUACUAUAGUGAUGAUACUUGGAUAGCUUUAUUUUUUAAAUGUCAGUGUUUGUGAAAUAAAAAAUAUGCCCUGGGAGAAGAGCCACAGACUUGGGUGCAGUUCAGAGUGAGUAACGUGUCAGGCCCUGAAACAAGGUCCUUUGUGAUGGACCUUCUGGUGUUAGUGUUAAUUUUAACACCGGCCCUAGGAGGCAGCAUUUGUUAUUUUCCCAAUUUUAUCAAAGAAUCGGACACGGCUGAGAACACACGCACAAUCAAAAAACCCAGACAGUUCAGGAAGUCCCCAACCCUUACCCUUUCUACAAAUUGCCUUUGUAGUAACCCACACAGAUUUUGUAAUUAUAAAGGUGGUACUUCAGACAUCUGAGUGGUCGUGGUAGAUUAGUUCCUAAACACUGUCUGACUCUUUGAGAC